UGCAUGUACUUAGGCUCCUAAAUUUCCUUACCGAAGAAAAUCCUGAUCCAAUCAACUCGAGGGUUUCCUGUAUCAGGGUUCCCAAAAACACUUAAAUACUGCGCAGUUUCAGUAUAGCUAAUUAUAUCGUCCUUCGCAUUAAAUGUGAAAUCAGGAUUUCGUGCUCUUUCCGUUUUGAUUCGAUUUAGCCGUGCGUGAGCAGCUGCUCCCAAGCUCACAGUGCGGUCGUCGAUGAAGUAGUCGAGGACGCUCUGCCAAAUCGUCGCGUUGAAGCUGAUAUUGUCACCAAAGUAAAUGUCGCCUCGUGAUAAACUUGCGUCGUGUUCGGCAAACAAAUCGUGAUUAGCGAGAUCAUCUAGGUUGAAGUAGAGCUGAAGUGGAUUUUUCGCCCCUAUCAUCCCCCCGGUGCCAGCAACAAGUGUGAGAUCAAAUCCAACAUUCAACCCCUCCAAUAUGCCUUUAAGCAAGGUCGGAUAAGCCAUUCGCUUUCCGUUGCGAGGAAGUAUGCCAUGAUUUGCGAGACUGUUCAAUGCAGGGCAUGGUCCACGGACUGUCGACGUUAUCAGAAUUACAGAAUUUUCUUGCAAAAGACUUUUCGGUCAAAUAGCUUACCGUCAUCUGGUCCUGGUGGAUGCCAUCGCGUGUAAUCCACUGCUGCAGACACCAGACGAAAGCUCACAAAAACCAUCACAAUCACGGUGGUCAACAUGACUUGCAAUAACCCCAUUUGCGAUGUGUGGAUCUCCGUCUUUUGAGCUUGGAACGGAAAGAAAACUGCACGAAAGAAUCAAUCCCAUGCGAUUUCACUUGCUGUCAAUGAUAUAUGUGCUAUAUUCUGGUAAGAGUCUGGAAGCAAGGAGAGCGAUUAACUGUGAGUAGCAAUUGCAAAAAGGACAUCUGCGCACGGUCACAGCAAGCUCAUGAUCUGUCCAGAUCCUCAUCCAGGAUCUACAAACUAAAGCCUUCCAUAAUCUCCGUGAAAGGGAAUUGAGAUAUUGGUGGAGAUCCUCAGCACAAUUCCCAGCACUGGUUAUUUGCUUGGCUCGAAGUAGUUAUCAUAUCAUAGGUAUCGGAUGUGAAUGACCCAUGGGCAGCCAUUCUGCCAAUUCCUCGCCAACUACGUGGUAGCGCAAUGUCCUCUAACCUUCGAGCGCAUCAGAUGGACUCACUUCAACAAGCGGGUUGAUAAUCGAUCCACUGUCGAUCAGAUCAUCUAAGCGUUUAGAGCGCCACUCGCAUAAUUAGGGAUGGUUUGAAUAGUGAUGAGCUCCUUCAGCCUAAAAACAUAUGGCGUAUUCUCUGAGAAGCCAUGGAUAUGAGGUUGAAUUGCCAAUGAUACUAAAUAAAGGAUCGGAAUGCUUAUUUUUGCUCACUGAUUUGGAUAUCGGGUACAUGUGAGGGAAUGCUUGGAGUCAAAUAAUACAACGCUACAGCAGGAGUUAUCAACUUGAUAUACGUUUAUCACAUAAAAGCAAGUACUUGUGGUGGAAACAGACCCCGAGCCGUCACUUGAACUACCUGAUAGUGCAGCAUAGAUUGCAUUUUGCAAUGUGAUUGAAGAUCUAGAGAAAGUAAACUGGAAAGAAAUUUAGAAUGCAACUGAGCUCCA
rnacentral:sRNA from 1 species